rnacentral:rRNA from 1 species
GUGAGGAAUAUUGGACAAUGGGCGCAAGCCUGAUCCAGCCAUGCCGCGUGCAGGAAGACGCAUCUAUGGUGUGUAAACUGCUUUUGUACGGGAAGAAACACUCCCUCGUGAGGGAGCUUGACGGUACCGUAAGAAUAAGGAUCGGCUAACUCCGUGCCAGCAGCCGCGGUAAUACGGAGGAUCCAAGCGUUAUCCGGAAUCAUUGGGUUUACAGGGUCCGUAGGCGGUUUAAUAAGUCAGUGGUGAAAGCCCAUCGCUCAACGAUGGAACGGCCAUUGAUACUGUUAGACUUGAAUUACAAGGAAGUAACUAGAAUAUGUAGUGUAGCGGUGAAAUGCUUAGAUAUUACAUGGAAUACCAAUUGCGAAGGCAGGUUACUACUUGUGGAUUGACGCUGAUGGACGAAAGCGUGGGGAGCGAACAGGAUUAGAAACCCGGGUAGUCC